rnacentral:rRNA from 1 species
UCGAGGAUCUUCGGCAAUGGGCGCAAGCCUGACCGAGCGACGCCGCGUGUGCGAUGAAGGCCUUCGGGUUGUAAAGCACUGUCGAGGGGGAGGAAGCUCCGCAAGGAGUUGACCGACCCCUGGAGGAAGCACGGGCUAAGUUCGUGCCAGCAGCCGCGGUAAGACGAACCGUGCAAACGUUAUUCGGAAUCACUGGGCUUAAAGGGCGCGUAGGCGGGCCAGCAAGUCAGGGGUGAAAUCUUUCAGCUCAACUGGAAAAGGGCCUUUGAUACUGCUGGUCUCGAGGGAGGUAGGGGCAUGCGGAACUUCCGGUGGAGCGGUGAAAUGCGUAGAUAUCGGAAGGAACGCCGGUGGCGAAAGCGGCGUGCUGGACCUCUUCUGACGCUGAGGCGCGAAAGCUAGGGGAGCAAACGGGAUUAGAUACCCCCGUAGUCC